UACGUAGGGGGCAAGCGUUGUCCGGAAUCAUUGGGCGUAAGGAGCGCGUAGGCGGCCCUGUAAGUCCGCUGUGAAAGUCAAGGGCUCAACCCUUGGAUGCCGGUGGAUACUGCAGGGCUAGAGUUCGGAAGAGGCGAGUGGAAUUCCUGGUGUAGCGGUGAAAUGCGCAGGAUAUCAGGAGGAACACCGGUGGCGAAGGCGGGUCUCUGGGCAAGCAACUGACGCUGAGGAGCGAAAGCGUGGGAGCGAACAGG
rnacentral:rRNA from 1 species